rnacentral:lncRNA from 1 species
CCAAUAGUAGCUUACUUAUUGUGCACAACAUUAAUUCUAAGUUUCCAAUUUGAUUCAGGUUGUGACAGAAAAAGGGAAAAAGCAAGUUGGUUCUAUCACAUCAUCUGAGAGAGGAGAACUGGUGACUGUGGUGUGUGCUGUGAAUGCUGCUGGGAAUGCCAUACCUCCCAUGCUUGUCUUCCCCAGAGUUAGGUUUAAGGACAACUUCAUGACAGGAGCACCAGCAGGAGCCAAAGGUGCCUCCACCAAAACAGGAUGGAUGAAUGAAGACACCUGGCCUGAUUUCCUUGAUCACCUUAUACAGCACACUCAGUGCACUCCUGACCGUCCCAUGCUGCUAAUUCUUGAUAAUCUUAAAGCUCACGUCUCACUCAAGGCAGUUGAAAAAGCAAAAAGCAAUGGUAUUGUAUUGCUCACCCUUCCACCCCACACAUCCCAUCGCCUGCAGCCUCUUGACGUAGCCGUGUAUGGCCCAUUUAAGACCCUAUACAACCGAGCUCUUGAUGGAUGGAUCAGAUCUAACCCUGGCAAAACAGUCUCCAUAUACCAGAUUGCAGGACUUGUGAAUAAGGCCUUCUUGUCAGCAAUGACACCAUGUAAUAUCACUUCUGGAUUCAAGUCCACUGGCAUUUUCCCAUAUAAUACAGAUAUUUUCCCUGAGGAAGCGUUUGAACCCUCCAUGAUAUCAGACCGGCCAAACCCUGAGCUGCAGCCUGCAUCCACUGGUCUAUCCACUUCAGAUGGUCCACACCCUGCAGACGAUCCACUCGCUGAUGCUAAUCCAUCCACUCUGUGUGGUCCACAAAGAUCUGCACUGCCAGCUAACUCAGAUGUUCCCGGUCGACCUGGAUAUGUAUCUCCUCCGGAAAUCCUACCACUUCCCAAAUGUCCCCCCAGAGCACAAACCAAAAGAAAGCGUGUGAAGACAGCCAUCCUAACCGAUACUCCUGAGAAGCAGACAAUAGAAAAGGCGUAUGAAGAGAGACAAAAGAAACUAGCAAAGAAAAAGCCAAAUAACAAAGAAAAGAAAAAAUUGAAAAAGAAAGCACCCAAAAGGAAAAUCAUAGAUAGCAGCUCUGAAGAGAGUGAUGUCCCUGUCCCACUCGAUGAUGAUGAGAGCUCUGAGGAUGAGAGAAGUGAUCAUGAAGACACAGAUCUGAACAUAGGUGACUUUGUCCUAGUUAAUUUUGCAACCAAAAACAGGAAUCUUCGUUAUGUUGGCAUGGUUGAGAAGGUGGAGGACGAUGAAAUACUUACACAAUUCCUCAGAAGAAUCCAAGGAAAUAAGAACCAG